GACGAACGCUGGCGGCGUGCCUAAUACAUGCAAGUCGAACGCAGUGGGGACGGGUGAGUAACACGUGGGUAACCUCCCAUCAGAGGGGAUAAAACUUGGAAACAGGUGCUAAACCGAUACUGAUGGAUGGACCCGCGGGGCAUUAGCGAGUGGGUGGGGGAACGGCUACCCAAGGCCACGAUGCAUAGCGGGCCUGAGAGGGUGAUCGGCCACACUGGAACUGAGACACGGCCCAGACUCCGACGGGAGGCAGCAGUGGGGAAUAUUCGGCAAUGGACGAAAGUCUGACGGAGCAACGCCGCGUGAGUGAAGAAGGUUUUCGGGUCGUAAAGCUCUGUUGUUAGAGAGGCGGUAUCUAACCAGAAAGCCACGGCUAACUACGUGCCAGCAGCCGCGGUAAUAC
rnacentral:rRNA from 1 species